GUGCCAGCAGCCGCGGUAAUACAGAGGGUGCAAGCGUUAAUCGGAAUUACUGGGCGUAAAGCGUGCGUAGUCGGUUAUCUAAGUCAGGUGUGAAAUCCCCGGGCUCAACCUGGGAAUUGCAUUUGAUACUGGAUAGCUAGAGUUCGGCAGAGGGAAGUGGAAUUUCUGGUGUAGCGGUGAAAUGCGUAGAUAUCAGAAGGAACAUCAGUGGCGAAAGCGACUUCCUGGACCAGAACUGACGAUCAGGCACGAAAGCGUGGGGAGCAAACAGGAUUAGAUACCCUGGUAGUCC
rnacentral:rRNA from 1 species